AGCGUCCGUGGGCGCGGUGCGCAGAACCGGGGCCGGUGCCUCAUGCGCCCCAGAGAGUUCGCUCCGAGUGGAGCGUCCAGGGUUCCGUUCGCCCUGGGUCUCGCGCCACCGUAGCCAGGCGGAUUGCCGAGGCCGGGCCGGGCCGGGGGCAGCGCGCAGGGCGGUGCCAGAGCGGCAGCCCGCGGAGUCCAGCCCCGAGAUGGAGAAAAGCUCUUCCCUUCAAGCUACUUCAUGAAUUACAACAAUUUAGUCAUCUACAUCUCUGCGGAAAAUUAAAGCAUUUUUCUGUUUUCUCUGCCUUGUCCCUCCAGAAAUUGCAGGCAUUUGGGUUCUGGACCCUUAUUAGGGAUUAAAUCAUGAGCCACUGAACCUGCUGACCUUCAACACUCGCUGGAAGGACUUCAGGAUGGAAGUCAGAAAUAAGGCCCUCUGUGCUCUGGGAAAAACUGGCAAAACAGGCCUUCAGAGAGUUAGAUAGUUUCAGGGAAGCUGUUCGGAGCCAGAAAUGAGCCUUGGAUACACAGGUCUGGUUGUUCGCCGUGUCACCCUGAGUCUAUCUUUCUUGGUCUGAUACAAGCCUGUACUCUCAUGCCCCUCAAGUAGCCUGUCCCAAGGAUCCAAAACCACGAGUGUGGCAUCCAGCCUUUCCCCAGACCCGGAAAAGAAAGGAAAAGAUUUUCUCUGUGGCCACUUGAGAAUUUUCUCAGUAUCCACGGAGUCUCAGGGCAAUGCCUGUGUUAACUCUGCUAUCGAAUUCAGCCCAGGCCUGAAAUGUUACCGAGAAGGACCCUGUGCAGCCUUCAUGUCAUCUUCCUGCCUUUUUAUCUAUAGAAUAACUUUAGUCUAAGAAUCAGUGUAAUAAGAGAUGUGAGAAAGACACAUAAAUGCAGAGAAAAAGAAAAACAGUUAAGACAGAGUAAUGGUAGUUUUAUUUAUUCAACCAAGUCAAGGGUAUUUAAGUGAGUUCUUCUUCAAGGACUACAGAUAAUAAUCUGAGCCAUGUCCCUGAAGCUGGUUUGCAGGGGCUAAAGCCCCCAUUGGGUAGAAGAAGUCAGCUGUAGGCUGCCCACAAGCACAUGUAGAUCCCAGACUGAAGGGAACCAAAAGGUUGAUGACAGUGACUCCCAAUUACCUCACCACCCACCAAACAGGAAAAUGUCCAUGAGUUGACCAGCCUUGCUCCUCAAACAGUAGAAGGCUCUCGUUACUCCCUCCAAGGACAGGCACAGUCCUCUAGUCAUCAGCCUGCUGUGCUCCCUCUUUGCCUAAAGUUACAUAAAUAUUUGCUUCUAGUGCCCAGAAAGGAGCCAAAUCCUGCCCAGAGAUAGGCUGAUUUUAGUACUAGGAGAGCCCAUCAUGCCCAUACUGGCUAUACCUGGGCAGCAAACCUGGUCAUAAGGAGUGACACUGUCCCAGAGUUCAGUGAGUUCUCAAGGCCUAGGGGAUCUUAUCUCUGAAGGAAUCCAGGAUCCCUGAGUUCCAAGGAGGAGCAGUGUGGAAGGAGCACAGAAUCCAAAGAGAGAGAGUUUAAGUUGGCCCCUGCUCAGCCUCUUCCUAGCCCGGUGAUUCUAGGCCGGGCUCUGAGCCUCAGUGACCUCCAUCUCUAAAAUGGAGAGAGUAAGUGGCACUCUUUAAUGCGUUGUUAGGGCAAUUGCUUGAGAAAUGAUUUGUGCAAUUUUUGUUCCAUGCUUGGAAUGCAUUAAGAACUAAAUGGAAAGGCAGUCAUGGUGGUAACCCUUUAUCCAAGGUAUCUGUUUUUUCUUUUGUUGAUUUGGAGUCACUUUUAAGAAACUGAUGCCAAAUCCAAAAUCAUGAAGAUUUGAUCUUAUGUUUUCUUCUAUGAGUUUUAUCAUUUUAGCUCUUAAAUUUAGGCCUUUGAUCUGUUUGGUUAAUUUUUUUCGUUGUUGUUGGUUUUUUUGGUUUUGUUUUCAGGGCUACAUCCGAAGCAUAUGGAGGUUCCCAGGCUAGGGGCUGAAUCAGAGCUGCAGCUGCUGGUCUGUGCCACAGCCACAGCAACACAGGAUCUGAGCUGUGUCUCCAACUUACACCACAGUUCAUGGCAAUGCCAGAUCCUGAGCAGGCUAAGGGGUCGAACCUGCAUCCUCAUGGAUCCAUGGGGUCAUUAACUUCUGAGCCACAGGGGAACUCCUGAGUUAAUUUUUAAAAAUUGUAUUAGACAAGCGUCCACCUUCAUUCAGACAUUUAUAAUUUUACGUGCCUACAUGUGUAAUGACAUUGUCCAAUCAAUAUAUUACCCAUAGUUGUUACUUGUAAGGAAUUUUCAUUAGAUUACAAAGAAUUGAAUAAUAAAAGCAAAUAAAUUAUCCCUAAAGAAAUACUCUAAGGCUAUAAAACAUGUUUCUAGAAAGAUUAACUUGUAUAGUGAAACUUUUGAUGUGGGCAGUUGUCACUGUCAUAAGCAGCUAUGCGCUUCCCUCUGGUGGUCACAUGAGAAAUGGCAGGAGUGCUGCAGAGCUCCUUGGUUCUAUCAGCAAAAGAUCAUCCUUACAGGAUUGCAGGUAGAUCAAAACGAAAUUUGUAACAUUCAGUGUUUUAGAGAUGCCUUCUAGUGGAAGUUACUGUCUUGUCACUUUACACUAUGAAAAAGGCUUAUUUCAAAAUGCAGUAUUUCAGGGAGUAUUGGGCACCUGUGUCAAGGCACCAGAGAAGGCCAAUGCCCCCAGGACCCUCAGGAGUUGGGAACAUCUGAUCCACACCACAGCUCUGGUUCAAAGAACAUAGCAUAUCAAAUCAAAGUAUAUUUAUGGAAUCCUUCUGAUUAUAUUAACAAUAAAAUAUUUUAGAA
ensembl:lncRNA